rnacentral:rRNA from 2 species
GGGGAAUAUUGCACAAUGGGCGAAAGCCUGAUGCAGCGACGCCGCGUGAGGGAUGACGGCCUUCGGGUUGUAAACCUCUUUUAGCAGGGAAGAAGCGAAAGUGACGGUACCUGCAGAAGAAGCGCCGGCUAACUACGUGCCAGCAGCCGCGGUAAUACGUAGGUGGCAAGCGUUGUCCGGAUUUACUGGGCGUAAAGGAUGCGUAGGCGGAUAUUUAAGUGAGAUGUGAAAUACCCGGGCUCAACUUGGGUGCUGCAUUUCAAACUGGAUAUCUAGAGUGCAGGAGAGGAAAGUGGAAUUCCUAGUGUAGCGGUGAAAUGCGUAGAGAUUAGGAAGAACAUCAGUGGCGAAGGCGACUUUCUGGACUGUAACUGACGCUGAGGCAUGAAAGCGUGGGGAGCAAACA